AGAUUGAACGCUGGCGGCAUGCCUUACACAUGCAAGUCGAACGGUAACGCGGGGCAACCUGGCGACGAGUGGCGAACGGGUGAGUAAUGCAUCGGAACGUGCCCAGUAGUGGGGGAUAGCCCGGCGAAAGCCGGAUUAAUACCGCAUACGACCUAUGGGUGAAAGCGGGGGACUCGCAAGAGCCUCGCGCUAUUGGAGCGGCCGAUGUCAGAUUAGCUUAGUUGGUGGGGUAAAAGCCUACCAAGGCGACGAUCUGUAGCUGGUCUGAGAGGACGACCAGCCACACUGGGACUGAGACACGGCCCAGACUCCUACGGGAGGCAGCAGGUGGGGGUAAUUUUGG
rnacentral:rRNA from 1 species